rnacentral:misc_RNA from 1 species
UUCCAGAGCAAGAUAUCUUGAACUUCUGAUAAGCCUUAUCCUGGAAGAUAUUUAUCCUCCUUUUGUUGGUUAUGACAUUUCCAAAUUCUAUUAGAUAACCAUUAGAAUUGAACAUGCCAUCUUCAAGUUUCCUUUUCAAGAAUUAAGAAACAGUAGAAUCCAAAAGAACAAUAAAAGCAAACACAUGGGUCCGAGCAAAGUAAAUAAAGAAGCAACAACAGGAAAAUCCGAAGAUUGCACUAGUAAUACAACUGCAUUUGCUUAGCAAGUUGGCCAUCUGUGGCCUUACCAGAUGACCAUGACAUAACCUUGGACCAAACCAAAUCCCCCCCAAAAAAGCAGUGUCCACAACCCUGUCCCACACAUAUAUUCUGUCACUUCUUGAUAUUUUCUAAGAGUUCAGAUUUAACCAAAGAUUUGUCUAGAUGAAUCCAUAGACGUGUAGCCAGAAGGUUCAUAGCACCGACCAUUUGUUUCCCUUCGGCUAAGUCCAAAAUUCCACUACAGGCCUGACUAUUCCUUCUGGGAAUUUUCCAAGCACCUUCAUUCUGUCAUCUGCUUCCUUCCAUUUUUUUUUUUUUGUUGUUAUUGCCAACCUUUUCAUUAUUUUGGAUACCUUCCAAUUAAGUCAUUCAGCAGAACUGGCCUACUUGAAGAAAAUAGACCUGAAACCAGCUAGUCUUAUUAAUACCAUUUUAAUUUUCAUCAUGAACAUUAGCUGUAAGAUUCCUUUAUCUUUUCAUUCUUGAUUUCUACAGAAACUGCCAAGAAAUGAAAAUUUAUAACAGUGCAGAACUCGUCGAAUCAUUUGUGAAAAUUGAAUUGAUAGGUUGUCGUUCUACACGGAAAUUUCUAUUCUCUGUUACUGUUUAAAUUCAAAAUUUCAGGAUAAGGUAAGUUAAUUAUGAUAUGAUCUCCAUUUCUUUCUACGGCCAUUAUUCCAUGUAACAGAUUCUUGGAAAUCCUUACACAGAACAGUGCAUAGGAGAUGAAAUUAGGAAGAAAGAAAGAAAAUCAAGAAAAAAAUAAAAAUAUCAGGAUUGAUGCUUUAAACAAAAUUCUCUGUAUUUCAUUAAUUUCCUCAAGAAGAUAAAAUACUUAGCCAAUAAUACUCUGUUAAAUCACUAAACAAAAUAGAGUUUCAUUGGUUUUUAUAUUUACCUUUGCGAACUAGAAAAAGAGAAUUCACCUAGACAAAGCAGAGAAACAACUCCCAGAUCGAACUAAUGCCGAACCUUUAAUCUUUUCAACAUCAACAUCAGGCAAAACACCACUAGAAUUAGAUCGAAUAGCUCGAGGAGAAUCCAAACUCCUGCGAAGAAUCCUGCCCAUGACAGAGAUAGGAUGCUCUGUUUGGUUGGGAGGACUAGAUGAUCGGAACUUGUUACAGAAACUGAUGUGCCUGUUUAGAGCUUCUUCGGUAGUGAUGAGCCUAUCUGAUCUCAAAACUUCAUCUUUCACUGCUUCAACGCAGAGCCCACAAAUCCACUGCCCAUGGUAGCGAUCGCGGACGCGGGAAAUAUAAUCAGGGGUGCACUCCUCCGUGAAUCCACACGAGUAGCAUUUAACUGACUCUACUUCGACCUGGGGGCCAGGCUUAGUAGCAGGAUUUGAUUGAGUUUCUGCACCUGAAAUUGCCAUUUCAUGUAACACAACAUUGAAGAUUGAAGUCUCUCUGGAAAAGUCUCUUCUCUCUCCCUGUUUUUGUAUUUUAUGGGAGAGCUGGGGGCAGAGCAGAGAUGAAGCUUUUUAUGCGGGUUGUGUGCGUCCUAUCUUGUAAUUGAAAAUGUUUUUAUAUGUACGGACUGUCACUUUGCCAAACUAAAGGUUAUGAUUUUGUUUUGUUUUGGGCGUGUUAAGUGUUGAGAUUAGUGUUGUGGAAAUUGUAUGAGAUUGGAUGUAACUAUAGGAAUUUUCCUUUUCUAAUUUCUUUAUGUAAUUAAAAUCACCAAUGAUUGAGUUUUUA